AUUGAACGCUGGCGGCAGGCUUAACACAUGCAAGUCGAGCGGAGAUGAGGUGCUUGCACCUUAUCUUAGCGGCGGACGGGUGAGUAAUGCUUAGGAAUCUGCCUAUUAGUGGGGGGACAACAUUCCGAAAGGAAUGCUAAUACCGCAUACGUCCUACAGGAGAAAGCAGGGGAUCUUCGGACCUUGCGCUAAUAGAUGAGCCUAAGUCGGAUUAGCUAGUUGGUGGGGUAAAGGCCUACCAAGGCGACGAUCUGUAGCGGGUCUGAGAGGAUGAUCCGCCACACUGGGACUGAGACACGGCCCAGACUCCUACGGGAGGCAGCAGUGGGGAAUAUUGGACAAUGGGGGAAACCCUGAUCCAGCCAUGCCGCGUGUGUGAAGAAGGCCUUAUGGUUGUAAAGCACUUUAAGCGAGGAGGAGGCCACUGAGACUAAUACUCUUGGAUAGUGGACGUUACUCGCAGAAUAAGCACCGGCUAACUCUGUGCCAGCCGCCGCAGUAA
rnacentral:rRNA from 1 species